rnacentral:rRNA from 1 species
UACGUAGGGGGCAAGCGUUGUCCGGAAUUAUUGGGCGUAAAGAGCGCGUAGGCGGUCCGGUAAGUCGGUUGUGAAAGUCGGGGGCUCAACCCUCGGAUGCCGAUCGAUACUGUCGGGCUAGAGUCCGGAAGAGGCGAGUGGAAUUCCUGGUGUAGCGGUGAAAUGCGCAGAUAUCAGGAAGAACACCAAUGGCGAAAGCAGCUCUCUGGGACGGUACUGACGCUGAGACGCGAAAGCGUGGGGAGCGAACAGG